GCACUGCUGAUGAGUCCCGCACUAGGACGAAACGGCCGUCCAGUGU
rfam:Schistosoma margrebowiei strain Zambia genome assembly, scaffold: SMRZ_contig0000543